UAUGUGAUCGUCUCUCGCAUAUCAAUAAGCGGAGGAAAAGAAACUAACAAGGAUUCCCCUAGUAACGGCGAGUGAAGCGGGAAGAGCUCAAAUUUGAAAUCUUAAAGGGUUUCCCUUUACGAAUUGUAGUUUAAAGAAGUGUUUUCUGUUGAGGUUUUGGUAAAAGUUCUUUGGAAUAGGACAUCAUAGAGGGUGAGAAUCCCGUAUUUGACCUUUACUUUCAACUUUGUGAUACACUUUCAAAGAGUCAGGAUUGUUUGGGAAUGCAGUCCAAAAUGGGUGGUAAAUUUCAUCUAAAGCUAAAUAUUGGCGAGAGACCGAUAGCGAACAAGUACCGUGAGGGAAAGAUGAAAAGAACUUUGAAAAGAGAGUUAAACAGUACGUGAAAUUGUCAAAAGGGAAGCGUUUGACACCAGUGUUGUUUUUCUGAAAAUCAAUUAAAGAACUGUUUAUGCUAAGUUGUUUAGACUUUAUCAGCUAACUGUUUAGUUUUGAGCUUUUCUUUAAUGCACUUUUCAGUUAACAAGUCAACAUCAAUUUCCUUUGCUGUAAAGAAGCUUGAGGAAGGUGGCUUGAGAUUCGUCUUAAGUGUUUAUAGCCUCUUGCCUAUGCAGUCGGAGAGAUUGAGGUCUGCAGCGUAGAUCCUUCGGGGCUAAAUGCAUUUGUGCUAAGUUAUAACAUUUUAUAGACAACUUGUUGACUAUGAUUUGUCUUGUAGCUUACUCGCUUAUGUUAUUUUACCUACGCUUAGGAUGUUGAAGUCAUCGUAUCGCGC
rnacentral:rRNA from 1 species